CAGGCUCAAGGUUGACUCAGCCCUCCAUCCUUCCGAGGAAGCAGGCAAUGGCCAACCAUUUCCAAAAUUCAUGCCAGGAAAAAUACAGGAACUUCUCUAGGCAGUUGCAAGCAAUCAAAACAGAUCUGAAGCGACAGAACACUUGCACAGUAUAAAUAUAUCUAUUUUUUAAAAAAAACCUGUGUUCCAAAAAUAAGAUGACACA